rnacentral:rRNA from 1 species
UUCGAAAGGAAGAUUAAUACCGCAUAAGAUUGUAGUAUCGCAUGAUAUAGCAAUUAAAGGAGCAAUUCGCUAUAAGAUGGACCCGCGUCGCAUUAGCUAGUUGGUGAGGUAAUGGCUCACCAAGGCGACGAUGCGUAGCCGACCUGAGAGGGUGAUCGGCCACAUUGGGACUGAGACACGGCCCAGACUCCUACGGGAGGCAGCAUG